rnacentral:rRNA from 1 species
UACGUAGGGGGCAAGCGUUGUCUGGAUUUAUUGGGCGUAAAGAGCGUGUAGGCGGCUUUACAGGUCCGUUGUGAAAACUCGAGGCUCAACCUCGAGACGCCGGUGGAAACCGUAAAGCUAGAGUCCGGAAGAGGAGAGUGGAAUUCCUGGUGUAGCGGUGAAAUGCGCAGAUAUCAGGAGGAACACCCGUGGCGAAAGCGGCUCUCUGGGACGGUACUGACGCUGAGACGCGAAAGCGUGGGGAGCAAACAGG